rnacentral:lncRNA from 1 species
AACCAUUUAAUAAAGUUUACAAAAUGUAAUUUAUUAAAAGGGGCAAUUACUUAUAUACUCUGAAAAAAUUUCUGACUUUCUGAUUUACUCUUCUUAAAAGGUUAAUAUUGAAAAUACCUUUUUUACGUUCCAACCUAUUUUAAAUAUAUCUCUAGAGUUAAAAUCUGUUAAUGAAUUCUGUUAUCUCUUUAAAAUUACUAUUUUGCCCUUUCAAAAUAUACCCUUCUACCAUUAUUGACUUUUUUUAUUUGUCCUUAAGUUAGGAGCAUAAAAAAUAUUUUACUUUUUGAUUAUUUCAAAUAUACCCUUUUACUAUCAACAAUAUUUCUUAUUUGCCCUUAAGAUAAGGACAAAAGUGACAUUUUAAUUUUUUAAUUAUGAUAGAUAUUUAACUUACGUUUAAUCCAAAUUAACUUAACGGGUAGAAACUAUAGAGAUAUUUUAGAAUAACGGAGUAAUAUAUAAAGAGUAUAUUAAAAAAAAAAAUAGAGAUAAAUAAGAUAUUUUUGACCGGUGUAUAGGCAAUUAUCUUUAUUAAAAUUAAAAAUUUGGACAUCUUUUUA